UUUUUUAUAGUUUACAAUUGUUAUUAAGUAACGGUAUACCACGAGAUAUUUUUGGUUUCAUACAAUCUUAUUUAAA
rnacentral:sRNA from 1 species